GGUUAGGGUUAGGGUUGGAGCUAGGGUUAGGGUUAGGGUUAGGGUUGGAGUUAGGGUUAUUGUUGGAGCUAGGGUUAGGGUUGGGCUUGGAGCUAGGAUUUUUCUGAGUGUAAUGAACCAACUCCUGAGUCUCUAGGACGUUCCUAAAAAAAUUUGAUUUUUUCCCAUAGGAAUGCAUGGGUUAGGGUUAGGGUUAGGGUUGGAGCUAGGGUUAGGGUUAGGGUUAGGGUUGGAGUUAGGGUUGGGCUUGGAGCUAGGGUUAGGGUUGGGCUUGGAGCUAGGAUUUUUCUGAGUGUAAUGAACCAACUCCUGAGUCUCUAGGACGUUCCUAAAAAAUUUGAUUUUUUCCCAUAGGAAUGCAUGGGUUAGGGUUAGGGUUAGGGUUGGAGCUAGGGUUAGGGUUAGGGUUAGGGUUGGAGUUAGGGUUAGUGUUGGAGCUAGGGUUAGGGUUGGGCUUGGAGCUAGUAUUUUUCUGAGUGUAAUGAAGCAACUCCUGAGUCUCUAGGACGUUCCUAAAAAAAUUUGAUUUUUUCCCAUAGGAAUGCAUGGGUUAGGGUUAGGGUUAGGGUUGGAGCUAGGGUUAGGGUUAGGGUUAGGGUUGGAGUUAGGGUUAGUGUUGGAGCUAGGGUUAGGGUUGGGCUUGGAGCUAGGAUUUUUCUGAGUGCAAUGAACCAACUCCCGAGUCUCUAGGACGUUCCUAAAAAAAUUUGAUUUUUUCCCAUAGGAAUGCAUGGGUUAGGGUUAGGGUUAGGGUUAGGGUUUGAGCUAGGGUUAGGGUUAGGGUUAGGGUUGGAGUUAGGGUUAGUGUUGGAGCUAGGGUUAGGGUUGGGCUUGGAGCUAGGAUUUUUCUGAGUGCAAUGAACCAACUCCCGAGUCUCUAGGACGUUCCUAAAAAAAUUUGAUUUUUUCCCAUAGGAAUGCAUGGGUUAGGGUUAGGGUUAGGGUUGGAGCUAGGGUUAGGGUUAGGGUUAGGGUUGGAGUUAGGGUUAGUGUUGGAGCUAGGGUUAGGGUUGGGCUUGGAGCUAGGAUUUUUCUGAGUGCAAUGAACCAACUCCCGAGUCUCUAGGACGUUCCUAAAAAAAUUUGAUUUUUUUCCCAUAGGAAUGCAUGGGUUAGGGUUAGGGUUAGGGUUGGAGCUAGGGUUAGGGUUAGGGUUAGGGUUGGAGUUAGGGUUAGUGUUGGAGCUAGGGUUAGGGUUGGGCUUGGAGCUAGGAUUUUUCUGAGUGUAAUGAGCCAACUCCUGAGUCUCUAGGACGUUCCUAAAAAAAUUUGAUUUUUUCCCAUAGGAAUGCAUGGGUUAGGGUUAGGGUUAGGGUUGGAGCUAGGGUUAGGGUUAGGGUUAGGGUUGGAGUUAGGGUUAGUGUUGGAGCUAGGGUUAGGGUUGGGCUUGGAGCUAGGAUUUUUCUGAGUGCAAUGAACCAACUCCCGAGUCUCUAGGACGUUCCUAAAAAAAUUUGAUUUUUUCCCAUAGGAAUGCAUGGGUUAGGGUUAGGGUUAGGGUUGGAGCUAGGGUUAGGGUUAGGGUUAGGGUUGGAGUUAGGGUUAGUGUUGGAGCUAGGGUUAGGGUUGGGCUUGGAGCUAGGAUUUUUCUGAGUGCAAUGAACCAACUCCCGAGUCUCUAGGACGUUCCUAAAAAAAUUUGAUUUUUUUCCCAUAGGAAUGCAUGGGUUAGGGUUAGGGUUAGGGUUGGAGCUAGGGUUAGGGUUAGGGUUAGGGUUGGAGUUAGGGUUAGUGUUGGAGCUAGGGUUAGGGUUGGGCUUGGAGCUAGGAUUUUUCUGAGUGUAAUGAGCCAACUCCUGAGUCUCUAGGACGUUCCUAAAAAAAUUUGAUUUUUUCCCAUAGGAAUGCAUGGGUUAGGGUUAGGGUUAGGGUUGGAGCUAGGGUUAGGGUUAGGGUUAGGGUUGGAGUUAGGGUUAGUGUUGGAGCUAGGGUUAGGGUUGGGCUUGGAGCUAGGAUUUUUCUGAGUGCAAUGAACCAACUCCCGAGUCUCUAGGACGUUCCUAAAAAAAUUUGAUUUUUUCCCAUAGGAAUGCAUGGGUUAGGGUUAGGGUUAGGGUUGGAGCUAGGGUUAGGGUUAGGGUUAGGGUUGGAGUUAGGGUUAUUGUUGGAGCUAGGGUUAGGGUUGGGCUUGGAGCUAGGAUUUUUCUGAGUGUAAUGAACCAACUCCUGAGUCUCUAGGACGUUCCUAAAAAAAUUUGAUUUUUUCCCAUAGGAAUGCAUGGGUUAGGGUUAGGGUUAGGGUUGGAGCUAGGGUUAGGGUUAGGGUUAGGGUUGGAGUUAGGGUUGGGCUUGGAGCUAGGGUUAGGGUUGGGCUUGGAGCUAGGAUUUUUCUGAGUGUAAUGAACCAACUCCUGAGUCUCUAGGACGUUCCUAAAAAAUUAAUUUUUUCCCAUAGGAAUGCAUGGGUUAGGGUUAGGGUUAGGGUUGGAGCUAGGGUUAGGGUUAGGGUUAGGGUUGGAGUUAGGGUUAGUGUUGGAGCUAGGGUUAGGGUUGGGCUUGGAGCUAGUAUUUUUCUGAGUGUAAUGAAGCAACUCCUGAGUCUCUAGGACGUUCCUAAAAAAAUUUGAUUUUUUCCCAUAGGAAUGCAUGGGUUAGGGUUAGGGUUAGGGUUGGAGCUAGGGUUAGGGUUAGGGUUAGGGUUGGAGUUAGGGUUAGUGUUGGAGCUAGGGUUAGGGUUGGGCUUGGAGCUAGGAUUUUUCUGAGUGCAAUGAACCAACUCCCGAGUCUCUAGGACGUUCCUAAAAAAAUUUGAUUUUUUCCCAUAGGAAUGCAUGGGUUAGGGUUAGGGUUAGGGUUAGGGUUUGAGCUAGGGUUAGGGUUAGGGUUAGGGUUGGAGUUAGGGUUAGUGUUGGAGCUAGGGUUAGGGUUGGGCUUGGAGCUAGGAUUUUUCUGAGUGCAAUGAACCAACUCCCGAGUCUCUAGGACGUUCCUAAAAAAAUUUGAUUUUUUCCCAUAGGAAUGCAUGGGUUAGGGUUAGGGUUAGGGUUGGAGCUAGGGUUAGGGUUAGGGUUAGGGUUGGAGUUAGGGUUAUUGUUGGAGCUAGGGUUAGGGUUGGGCUUGGAGCUAGGAUUUUUCUGAGUGUAAUGAACCAACUCCUGAGUCUCUAGGACGUUCCUAAAAAAAUUUGAUUUUUUCCCAUAGGAAUGCAUGGGUUAGGGUUAGGGUUAGGGUUGGAGCUAGGGUUAGGGUUAGGGUUAGGGUUGGAGUUAGGGUUAGUGUUGGAGCUAGGGUUAGGGUUGGGCUUGGAGCUAGGAUUUUUCUGAGUGUAAUGAACCAACUCCUGAGUCUCUAGGACGUUCCUAAAAAAUUUUGAUUUUUUCCCAUAGGAAUGCAUGGGUUAGGGUUACGGUUAGGGUUGGAGCUAGGGUUAGGGUUAGGGUUAGGGUUGGAGUUAGGGUUAGUGUUGGAGCUAGGGUUAGGGUUUGGCUUGGAGCUAGUAUUUUUCUGAGUGUAAUGAACCAACUCCUGAGUCUCUAGGACGUUCCUAAAAAAUUUUGAUUUUUUCCCAUAGGAAUGCAUGGGUUAGGGUUAGGGUUAGGGUUGGAGCUAGGGUUAGGGUUAGGGUUAGGGUUGGAGUUAGGGUUAGUGUUGGAGCUAGGGUUAGGGUUGGGCUUGGAGCUAGGAUUUUUCUGAGUGCAAUGAACCAACUCCCGAGUCUCUAGGACGUUCCUAAAAAAAUUUGAUUUUUUUCCCAUAGGAAUGCAUGGGUUAGGGUUAGGGUUAGGGUUGGAGCUAGGGUUAGGGUUAGGGGUUAGGGUUGGAGUUAGGGUUAGUGUUGGAGCUAGGGUUAGGGUUGGGCUUGGAGCUAGGAUUUUUCUGAGUGUAAUGAGCCAACUCCUGAGUCUCUAGGACGUUCCUAAAAAAAUUUGAUUUUUUCCCAUAGGAAUGCAUGGGUUAGGGUUAGGGUUAGGGUUGGAGCUAGGGUUAGGGUUAGGGUUAGGGUUGGAGUUAGGGUUAGUGUUGGAGCUAGGGUUAGGGUUGGGCUUGGAGCUAGGAUUUUUCUGAGUGCAAUGAACCAACUCCCGAGUCUCUAGGACGUUCCUAAAAAAAUUUGAUUUUUUCCCAUAGGAAUGCAUGGGUUAGGGUUAGGGUUAGGGUUGGAGCUAGGGUUAGGGUUAGGGUUAGGGUUGGAGUUAGGGUUAGUGUUGGAGCUAGGGUUAGGGUUGGGCUUGGAGCUAGGAUUUUUCUGAGUGCAAUGAACCAACUCCCGAGUCUCUAGGACGUUCCUAAAAAAAUUUGAUUUUUUUCCCAUAGGAAUGCAUGGGUUAGGGUUAGGGUUAGGGUUGGAGCUAGGGUUAGGGUUAGGGUUAGGGUUGGAGUUAGGGUUAGUGUUGGAGCUAGGGUUAGGGUUGGGCUUGGAGCUAGGAUUUUUCUGAGUGUAAUGAGCCAACUCCUGAGUCUCUAGGACGUUCCUAAAAAAAUUUGAUUUUUUCCCAUAGGAAUGCAUGGGUUAGGGUUAGGGUUAGGGUUGGAGCUAGGGUUAGGGUUAGGGUUAGGGUUGGAGUUAGGGUUAGUGUUGGAGCUAGGGUUAGGGUUGGGCUUGGAGCUAGGAUUUUUCUGAGUGCAAUGAACCAACUCCCGAGUCUCUAGGACGUUCCUAAAAAAAUUUGAUUUUUUCCCAUAGGAAUGCAUGGGUUAGGGUUAGGGUUAGGGUUGGAGCUAGGGUUAGGGUUAGGGUUAGGGUUGGAGUUAGGGUUAUUGUUGGAGCUAGGGUUAGGGUUGGGCUUGGAGCUAGGAUUUUUCUGAGUGUAAUGAACCAACUCCUGAGUCUCUAGGACGUUCCUAAAAAAAUUUGAUUUUUUCCCAUAGGAAUGCAUGGGUUAGGGUUAGGGUUAGGGUUGGAGCUAGGGUUAGGGUUAGGGUUAGGGUUGGAGUUAGGGUUAUUGUUGGAGCUAGGGUUAGGGUUGGGCUUGGAGCUAGGAUUUUUCUGAGUGUAAUGAACCAACUCCUGAGUCUCUAGGACGUUCCUAAAAAAUUUGAUUUUUUCCCAUAGGAAUGCAUGGGUUAGGGUUAGGGUUAAGGUUGGAGCUAGGGUUAGGGUUAGGGUUAGGGUUGGAGUUAGGGUUAGUGUUGGAGCUAGGGUUAGGGUUGGGCUUGGAGCUAGUAUUUUUCUGAGUGUAAUGAAGCAACUCCUGAGUCUCUAGGACGUUCCUAAAAAAAUUUGAUUUUUUCCCAUAGGAAUGCAUGGGUUAGGGUUAGGGUUAGGGUUGGAGCUAGGGUUAGGGUUAGGGUUAGGGUUGGAGUUAGGGUUAGUGUUGGAGCUAGGGUUAGGGUUGGGCUUGGAGCUAGGAUUUUUCUGAGUGCAAUGAACCAACUCCCGAAUCUCUAGGACGUUCCUAAAAAAAUUUGAUUUUUUUCCCAUAGGAAUGCAUGGGUUAGGGUUAGGGUUAGGGUUGGAGCUAGGGUUAGGGUUAGGGUUAGGGUUGGAGUUAGGGUUAGUGUUGGAGCUAGGGUUAGGGUUGGGCUUGGAGCUAGGAUUUUUCUGAGUGUAAUGAGCCAACUCCUGAGUCUCUAGGACGUUCCUAAAAAAUUUUGAUUUUUUCCCAUAGGAAUGCAUGGGUUAGGGUUAGGGUUAGGGUUGGAGCUAGGGUUAGGGUUAGGGUUAGGGUUGGAGUUAGGGUUAGUGUUGGAGCUAGGGUUAGGGUUGGGCUUGGAGCUAGUAUUUUUCUGAGUGUAAUGAACCAACUCCUGAGUCUCUAGGACGUUCCUAAAAAAAUUUGAUUUUUUCCCAUAGGAAUGCAUGGGUUAGGGUUGGAGCUAGGGUUAGGGUUAGGGGUUAGGGUUGGAGUUAGGGUUAGUGUUGGAGCUAGGGUUAGGGUUGGGCUUGGAGCUAGGAUUUUUCUGAGUGCAAUGAACCAACUCC